GCUCCGGUCGCCUAGUAGUUAGGGCGUCCGCCUCAGAAGCGGGAGGUCGUGGGUUCCAACACCGGUCGCGUCA